rnacentral:rRNA from 1 species
GUAGUCUGCAACUCGACUACAUGAAGCUGGAAUCGCUAGUAAUCGCAGAUCAGAAUGCUGCGGUGAAUACGUUCCCGGGUCUUGUACACACCGCCCGUCACACCAUGGGAGUCGGAAAUGCCCGAAGUCUGUGACCUAACCGUAAGGAAGGAGCAGCCGAAGGCAGGUCGGAUGACUGGGGUGAAGUCGUAACAAGGUAGC